rnacentral:lncRNA from 1 species
UCCUCACAGGAGCAUCAGAAUAUUCCCAUCUUUCUUUUUUUGUCAUUCUCCUUCGUCUUCAGACUGUCACAGCCACUUCAUGAAGGAAAAUAUUCUUUCUUGUACAUUGAAUGUAAUUUGCCCCUUCCUGGAGUCCAUUCCCUUUGGGUUGGUGUUGGCUGAACUUUGCAGUCUUCACUGAAGGGGGAACCCUUUCUCACUGUUCCCUGGGAGAGCAGCCCCUUUGAAGUCACAGCUGGCUUGACUAAACUCAUUUCCUCCAUCCACAAUGUGCCUCUGAUGUAGUGUUGGCUAAGUCUCCCUCUUGCCGGCUCCCGCUCUUGAAACAGACCCAAGUGCAAUGUUCAAUGUGAGUGUUUGGCUUGGCUUAAAUUUGGCCGAAUCAUCUGUACUUUGUUUCAUUUGAAAGCCUUACUUUUUUUCUUUCUCUCUCUCUUUUCUCUUGCAACUAGUUCAUUCCAGAUGUUUUUGAUUUGUCUUUUAGUGGUCUACUCCACCCAGUUCCUAAAUCAGUAAAUCAUUUUCAUGCUUCUUCCAAAAUCUAAGGAAAGAAAAUGCUCAAUUAGAGGGAAACUGAUUAUAGGUCUCAUAGAGCUUACACUUGGGGAUGGCUGCUUUCCUCAGGAACUACCUUUGAAAGCCAAACUUCUCAUCAAAUAAUCUAUACUGACUCUCCAUGACUUCAGCAACAUUUCCAGUCCUUGAUGCUCUUCCAGAAUGAUGAUCCCCACCAUCCACAUCAAGAAGAGGUAUAUGUUCCUUUUC